rnacentral:lncRNA from 8 species
CUCCCUUAAUUUGGGUUUCAUACAGAUAUUCACAGUCAGACUGUUGAAAAAGGUCAGACAUUUCCUUUGCCCAGGCUCCCCCUAUGGAUAGUAUUUUUUGUGCUAAGCCUCUCACUAUGGAUAGUAUUUUUUGUGCUAAGUCUCUCACUAUGGAUAGUAUUUUUUUGUGCUAAGUCUCCCACUUUGGAUAGUAUUUUUUUGUGCUAAGUCUCCCACUAUGGAUAGUAUUUUUUGUGCUAAGUCUCUCACUAUGGAUAGUAUUUUUUUGUGCUAAGUCUCCCACUAUGGAUAGUAUUUUUUGUGCUAAGCCUCUCACUAUGGAUAGUUGUUUUUGUGCUAAGUCUCCCACUUUGGAUAGUAUUUUUUUGUGCUAAGUCUCCCACUUUGGAUAGUAUUUUUUAUGCUAAAUCUCCCCCUAUAGAUUCGUAUUUUUUGUGCUAAGUCUAAGUCCAUAAUGGUUACUAUACUACCUUAGUCUUAAGCUAGUGUUUAUGUCUGUUACCAGGCCGUCCUGAGUUCCAGAACUGAGGGAGACUCGAAGCUGCAGGACUUGAGGAGACAAUGUCAAAGUCUGUGUGAACAUCAGGACCUGGAGGAGAGCAGGAGACAAGAGGUUCAGCAGACAGUCAGAGAAAUGGAAGAGGAGUGGAGGAGAGUCCUACAGGCUGCAAAAGAGGCGCUGGAUCGGAUAGAGGUACUAGAAAAAGAGCUGAGAGCUUUUGAAACCUGGAAGGAAGGCGCUCGGGUCUGGGUGAAAGACCAGAAACAACAGCUACACUCUCAGAGCAGCCAGACCAAGACUGAGGAGAGACUACAUACCACACAGGCUGUCCUGAAUUCCAGACCUGAGGGAGACUCUAAGCUGCAGGACUUGAGGAGACGAGGUCAGAGUCUGUGUGAACAUCAGGACCUGGAGGAGAGCAGGAGACGAGAGGUUCAGCAGACAGUCACAGACAUGGAGGAGGAGUGGAGGAGAGUCCUGCAGACUGCUGAGGAAACUCUUACCAAAGCUGAGAUGCAGAGUGCUAUUGAAGGCCAGCUGAGAGACUUGGAAACCCAGAAGGAGAACUCCAGGGCCUGGAUCAAAGGCCAACAUCAACGCUUACUUUCUUUGGGCAGCCAGGCCAAGACAGAGAACAGAAUACAAACUGCACAGGUCAGUCUACAGUUAAUGGUCGACAUGGUUAGUGUUUGGGUCUGGGCUACAGCAGGGCAAAGACUAGGGCUUGAGCUUAGGCUCAGUUUUGGACUAAGGUUGUUAUGAGUAUUCUUUGUGCUAAUUCUAAGUCCAUAAUGCUUACUAUACUACAUUAGUCUUUACCUAGUGUUUGUGUCUGUUACCAGGCCGUCCUGAGUUCCAGACAAGAGGGAGACUCUAAGCUGCAGGACUUGAGGACACGAUGCCAAAGUCUGUGUGAACAUCAGGACCUGGAGGAGAACAGGAGACGAGAGGUUCAGCAGACAGUCACAGACAUGGAGGAGGAGUGGGGAGACGUUCUUAAGGCUGCAAAGGAGGUGUUGGAUAAGGCCGAGGUUCAGAGUGUCAUAGAGAGGGAAAUUAUUGAAUAUUUUACCCAGAAGGGAAGCAUUCAGGCCUGGGUCAGAGACCACAAACAACGCCUACACUCUCUGGGCAGCCAGAGCCAGACUGAUGACAGAAUAAACGUAGCACAGGUAAGUUUAUAGCUACUUGUGCCUAAAAAACGUCAGAUGUCAAGUCAGUAACACAUAGUCAAGUCAGUAACACUUCCAACAAGGUCCGAUCUAGCUGAGGCCCUAAGGCACUACUCUUUUUCUAUCUCUCUAUCCACAGGCUGUCCUGAAUUCCAGACCUGAGGGAGACUCUAAGCUGCAGGACUUGAGGAGACGAGGUCAGAGUCUGUGUGAACAUCAGGACCUGGAGGAGAGCAGGAGACGAGAGGUUCAGCAGACAGUCACAGACAUGGAGGAGGAGUGGAGAAGUGUCCUGCAGACUGCUGAGGAUACUAGGCGUCAGGCCCAGGUGUGGUAUUCUCUCUCCAGGCAGCUAGAGGCCUUCCAGGCCCUGGAGGAGAGCAGCAGAGACUGGUUCAAACUGCAGCAGCAGAACACACACUCCCUGGGAACAGGCACCCGGGGCAGCAAGGAAGAGAUCCAGGACAGGCUGCAGAGAGCAAAGGUGCGCGCUACACUACACCGCAGGAUCUUUUUAUUGUCACAAUUGAUUGACUGAUUAAAAAUAUGAAAAUGUUAAGAUUGCAAAGCCAAUUUAUGGCCAAAUCUUCAAGCAGUUUAUACUAUUUACUGUAGUCAGACCAUUCCUUGUAUAUUCUGUUGCAUUAAAGGCCCAGUGCAGUCAACAUUCAGUUUUUCCUGUGUUUUGCAUCAUUUACAACAGCUGAUAAAAUAUCACUGUAAAAGUGUGAAAACAUUUGAUCUGUGUUAUUUCCUGAUAGUUGCUGGUUGAAAUACAAUAUACACAGGACCUUCUAAUCAGCAGGUUUUUCAAUGGUGGUGUUUCUGCUUGCUGUUUUGGUAUCACCAGGUGGUAAAUGAGUUAAUAGACCAAUAACAAAGAGAGUUCGAAACCUCUCUGCCAAUAACAGCUAGUUUUCAGUUUUCCCCUCCCCACUCAGACGACUCCCAGACAGUCCUACCAAAUGUAUUGCUUGAAUAAUGUUUGUGUAUUUUGGACAAUUUUAAUGGAAAACUAUUACAGUAAGUUUCUGAAUUGUUACCCAGAAAUUAUUUGACAUUGAUAUAAAACAGCUUCAUUGGGCCUUUAACUCAAAUGUCCUCUUCAGGCUGUCCUGAGUUCCAGACCUGAGGGAGACUCUAAGCUGCAGGACUUGAGGAGACAAGGUCAGAGUCUGUGUGAAAACCAGGACCUGGAGGAGAGCAGGAGACUAGAGGUUCAGCAGACAGUCAGAGACAUGGAGGAGGAGUGGGGAGAAGUUGUACAAAAGGCUGAGGUGGUGCACAGGUACAGUGACAUUUUAUUGCAUGUAAAGGUGUGUAAUGAAUAAAAAAACGACCGUGUGAAACAACAAUGUUUCCCUGGUGUGUCAGACUGUUGCAAGGUGUGGUGGAACGCCUGGUGUCCUGUCAGUACCAGAAGUGUCAAGCCCAGUCCCGUCUGGCUGAGCUCCAGCAACAGACAGCAGAGCUGCCCCGUCACUUCCCCUGGCCUGGGCUGGGAGACCGGGGGCAGGCUGUGGAGACGGCCAGGACCCUGCUGGAUAAAACCAGGAACCUGGCCCCAGCCCUCUCUGUCCUCCACACCCAGGGCAAGGAAAUGUUCCAGCUUACCCAGGACCCCAGCUGGACAGACCUCUCCUGGGCCACCAUGGAGGAAUGCAUCCCUGCCCUUCUCAAAGAACUGACGGUGGGUGUUAGAUCUCCCCAAUCAUACUGAUCAGUGAUACACUCAUCUGUAGUAUUCGGUGCAUUCGGAAAGUAUUUAGACCACUUGACUUUUUCCCAAAAUCUUUACUAUACAGCCUUAUUCUAAAAUGGAUUUGAUUGUUUUUUUCCCUCAUCAAUCUACACACAAUUCCCCAUAAUGCAAAAGUAUAAAACAUUUAAAACUGAAAUAUCACAUAUACAUAUGUAUUCAGACUAUUGACUCAGUACUUUGUGUGAAAGGCCGUACCUAUUCACUGACGAAAUCCUCGGCGGGACAGCACGAAAUGAGACGCAGAGAUGUGACUUCAACAAAAAAAAGGAAACUAUAUUGGAAGUUCUUGUUUCAACUCUCCCCGGGACCGUACAAACAAAGGCCAGGGUAAUGGCUAUCCAAACAAAACUCCCCAAAAAUAAACUAACAGUUGGUACCCAACACCACUCCAACAGCUUGAGCCGAACCUAUAACAGGGGAUCCUACUAUCCUGGAAUUCGGCAUAGUCUCCGGCUGUUAAUCACUCUGCCCCUUCAGUCAGGUCCUUAAGAGAGCACAAACAAUCAGUCAAUUGGCCUCAGGUGAGCUCGUCAGUAGUGGCUGUACUGCGGCCCACCUCCAGGAGAGGGU